AUGUCGCUGCCAUCACCCAGAAGGUCGACUGCCUCCACCUCGACGCUGGACAGGGAAGCACCAGUCAGGUGGGCGGACCACAGCAGCUAUUCUGCCCCCUCCAUUGGCCAUCCUCGAUGCUCCGCCAGCUCCGCCUGCCCGUCCACGCUCAUCAGCUCCCCCGAAAGUGCGGGCCUCUUCUGCUCCUUCUCACCGAAGCGUGCGUCAGGCCGCUCCGGCUGCACUGUGCCUGUGGCUCAGCGCGUGGCGCUGCGCCUCGUCCAAGAACUCGGUGGCCUCGGCCCAAAGGAUCGGAUGACUCCAUCGGCGGCGGCUGCCCUGCUCAAGCGCUUCGAGGAGCCCCUGUCCCGCAGUGACAUCAAGGCGAUCGCAAAGCUCACUGGCCUGGACAGUAAGGCACUGGAAAUCGCGGCCGGGAUGGCCGGCGCGGAUGCUGAGGAUGUAGCUUGA
rnacentral:rRNA from 1 species